rnacentral:rRNA from 1 species
AGAGCGCAGGGUGGAUGCCUUGGCACUGAGAGCCGAUGAAGGACGUGAUAAGCUGCGAAAAGCUUCGGGGAGGAGCAAAUAUCCAUUGAUCCGGAGAUAUCCGAAUGGGGAAACCCACUUGAGCAAACCUCAAGUAUCCAUACGCCAAUCCAUAACGUAUGGAAGGGAACCGGGGGAACUGAAACAUCUAAGUACCCCGAGGAGAAGAAAGAAACCUCGAUUUCCAAAGUAGCGGCGAGCGAAAUGGAAAGAGCCCAAACCGUGGUGCGUGCACCGCGGGGUUGUGGACUGCAUAAGGUACUCGAAUCAAUAGCCGAACAGUUUUGGGAAAUCUGAUCAGAGAGGGUGAAAAUCCCGUAGGCGAAAUUGAUGAGAGGCUGGCAGGAUCCAGAGUACCACGAGACACGGGAAACCUUGUGGGAAGCAGGAGGGACCACCCUCCAAGGCUAAAUACUCCUCAGUGACCGAUAGCGCAUAGUACUGUGAAGGAAAGGUGAAAAGGACCCCGGGAGGGGAGUGAAAGAGAACCUGAAACCCUGUGUUUACAAGCUGUGGAAGUGCCUUAUGUGCACAACCGCGUACUUUUUGUAGAACGGUCCGGCGAGUUACGUUUACUGGCAAGGUUAAGUACUAUAGGUACGGAGCCGAAGGGAAACCAAGUCUUAAGAGGGCGUGAAGUCAGUAAGAGUAGACCCGAAACCGGGUGAUCUACCCAUGUCCAGGCUGAAGCUGCCGUAAGAGGUAGUGGAGGGCCGAACGCACAUCCGUUGAAAAGGGUGGCGAUGAGGUGUGGGUAGGGGAGAAAUUCCAAUCGAACCCGGAGAUAGCUGGUUCUCCUCGAAAUAGCUUUAGGGCUAGCCUCGAUGGAGUCUUACGGAGGUAGAGCACUGAAUUUCUAAGGGGGCGUCAAAGCUUACCAAGGGAUAUCAAACUCCGAAUGCCGUAAAGAUGCUCAUCGGGAGUCAGACUGCACGAGAUAAGUUGGGCAGUCAAAAGGGAAAGAGCCCAGACCUGCUGCUAAGGUCCCAAAGUACGUGUUAAGUGGAAAAGGAUGUGGGAUUUCGAAGACAACUAGGAUGUUGGCUCAGAAGCAGCCACACAUUCAAAGAGUGCGUAAUAGCUCACUAGUCGAGAGGUCCUGCGCCGAAAAUGUCCGGGGCUGAAACACGACACCGAAGCACAGGAUACCGCAAGGUAUGGUAGAGGAGCAUUGCUGGCGCAACGAAGCAGUACCGGAAGGAGCUGUGGAGUGCCAGGAAGAGAGAAUGCCGGAAUGAGUAGCGAGAGAGAGGUGGGAAUCCUCUCGGCCGAAUAUCCAAGGUUUCCAGGGUAAAGCUGAUCUGCCCUGGGUAAGUCGGGGCCUAAGGAGAGGCAGAAAUGCGUAUCCGAUGGACAGCAGGUUGAGAUUCCUGCACUAUCUUAAAACAGAACUGUGGGGACAUUUGUGGAGAGCACAGGCGCGGAACGGAAAGCCGCGUGCAAGCGAAGGAGGAGUCACAUAGGAAAAACCGUGUGGCAAUCCAAAGGCGUGAUGCGGACCGAACUAAAGUAGGGAAGUGUGUGAGCCAUGAAUCAAGAAAAGCCGCUAUUGUUUUUAAGAUACCCGUACCGUAAACCGACACAGGUGGAUGAGGAGAGAAUCCUAAGGCCGGCGGAAGAAGCAUUGUUAAGGAACUCGGCAAAAUGACCCCGUAACUUCGGGAGAAGGGGUGCCCAUGAAAGUGGGCCGCAGAGAAUAGGCUCAAGCAACUGUUUAGCAAAAACACAGGUCUAUGCAAAACCGAAAGGUGAGGUAUAUGGGCUGACGCCUGCCCGGUGCUGGAAGGUUAAGAGGAGAGGUUAGCGCAAGCGAAGCUUUGAAUUUAAGCCCCAGUAAACGGCGGCCGUAACUAUAACGGUCCUAAGGUAGCGAAAUUCCUUGUCGGGUAAGUUCCGACCCGCACGAAAGGCGUAAUGAUUUGAGCGCUGUCUCGACAAUGCAUCCGGUGAAAUUGAAGUACCAGUGAAGAUGCUGGUUACCCGCGCCAGGACGGAAAGACCCCAUGGAGCUUUACUCCAGUUUGGUACUGGGGUCCGGCAGUGCAUGUACAGGAUAGGUGGGAGGCUGUGAACCUGGAACGCCAGUUUCAGGGGAGCCAUUGUUGGGAUACCACCCUUGUGCUGCUGGGCUUCUAACCAGCGGCCUUUAUCAGGCCGGGGGACAAUGCCAGACGGGGAGUUUGACUGGGGCGGUCGCCUCCGAAAGGGUAUCGGAGGCGCUCAAAGGU